rnacentral:tRNA from 1 species
UUCGACGGACACGCGGAUUAUCGCCGGCGCCCAUCAUUCCAGGAUGAUGCGAACAGCCCCCGUCGGAGGGGUCGG